rnacentral:pre_miRNA from 1 species
AGUGCGCCCAGGUGGGUCCCUCAGCCCAGAUUGCAAGAGGGCGCAGGCCAGGCUGAGGGACCCACCGGUGCAUG